rnacentral:rRNA from 1 species
GACGAACGCUGGCGGCGUGCUUAACACAUGCAAGUCGUACGGUAAGGCCCUUUCGGGGGUACACGAGUGGCGAACGGGUGAGUACACGUGAGUAACCUGCCCACAACUUUGGGAUAACGCUAGGGAACUGGUGCUAAUACUGGAUAUGUGCUCCUGCUGCAUGGGGGGGGUUGGAAAGCUCCGGCGGUUGUGGAUGGACUCGCGGCCUAUCAGCUUGUUGGUGGGGUAGUGGCCUACCAAGGCGGCGACGGGUAGCCGGCCUGAGAGGGUGACCGGCCACAUUGGGACUGAGAUACGGCCCAGACUCCUACGGGAGGCAGCAGUGGGGAAUAUUGCACAAUGGGCGCAAGCCUGAUGCAGCAACGCCGCGUGCGGGAUGACGGCCUUCGGGUUGUAAACCGCUUUCAGCAGGGACGAAGCUUUUUGUGACGGUACCUGCAGAAGAAGCACCGGCUAACUACGUG